GGUUUGCAACUACGUGUCCCAGACUGCAUCCCUGCUGAGAGUCCCUCCCUCCCUUCUCAUAUUGCAGGAAGAACGUAAGUUCCCGCCCCUUGUCAAUCAGUCACCAUAUAAUUUUGGAUUGGUUGUUGUGGUGAAGUUUUCCACCAAUAGGAGAGAUGUUGUGGUGUGUAUUUUUUUUCCUUUGGCAAGCCUUUUCCGCCUGUAAGACCUGUCGCUAAUGUGUGCAUGCUAUGUUUUCCUGUCUCAUACAGCGCGAUCGAGCGCCGAACGUGAUCAAAAUAAGCAGAAAACAAGUAUCGCGGACAUAAUUUAUCAUAACUCUGGUUUUAUUUGGCCUAUCAACACAAUUUAAAAACUGGUAUAUAGGUUGAGGUCCUCACUUUUGAGAUAAAUUGAAACGGAGAGUCAACGAGGCUCCGUCUUGCAGCUACAUCCGGUUAAAUAUGUCAUGUGACUUGAACGCACACACACACACACACACAGACACACACACACACGCACACACACACACUCAGAGUCUGGUUUGUAGCACCUGCAAAAACAUGCUAUUUACAUAUUUGACAAGAAUGCAGAGGCUCCUUUUGCCCCUGAAAAAAAUCAAAUUUCAAACACAACUUGACUGGUCAUUUCUCCAAAAGACAACCAUGAAGCUCCAUCCAAACCUGAAGCAGGCAGUUGGUGCAUGUGUACAGUAACCUGAGGGGAGUGAGGUGACUGCUUCUGAGGAGAACAUGAGCAGUGAAGAUUUACCUUAGAGCUAGAACAGAGACGUGCACAUGAUUAUACAGGGGCAGGGGCUCAAGUUUUUUCCAGUCGUUUAUACAAUUUGGAAAUUAAUGUGAAAUUAAAAAACAAAGUAUUAAUAGAAAGGUAAUGACUGUCCUGUGUAGGUGACAGUGAUAUCCAAUAGGCUAGGCACUCACGAGGCUGGCUGUGGCAAGUGUAAGUGAAAGCAACACGCACUGGCAGGAAGAACAGCAAACGCCGAUGAAGGAAAAGGGUCUUUGCAGUGAUGGGCGUUACCAAAGAGGGCGAUGGCCAGAGGACACAAAUGGGACGGGGAGGCAGCGCGUUGGGGGGGGGACGCGACACAGCUCGGGCCCGCCAGUGCCCCAACGGGGUCCUAGUUCGUUAUUUUUCCUCCGCUUUAAACUGGAAAAUGGCCCACUUCCCACUGGCGAAAACUCAGGAAAUUUGGCAGGACGACCGGGCCUGGUGAAAAAUUUGAUAUUCUGAAGUCGUCCAAACAAAAAAAUGAAAAAUGGCUCCAUAGCGCCCCCUAUGGUGAAAACUCACCUGAUGCCUGUACGCUUUGUCAAAAUGACACAAAAUUUGACACACAUGUGUAUCUCAAUAAGAUCUACGAAAAAGUCAGUGCGGGCGUAUCUGCCAAAUGUACGGUUAAAGGGCUAUUUCGCUUUUUUUGCCGAUCCGCACACAUUGGAAUUUCGCUAACUCCUCCGAAGGCUUUCGUUCCACCGGCACCAAGUUUGCUCAGGCCAAUCUACACCCCAUGGCCAUUAAAAGUUGUACAAAUCAUGAUGCUGCACCCCACGGUUUACUUUCUAGGGGGCGCCAAAGAUAACCCAAAAAUCCACAUUCUUAAAAGUCUUAUAACUUUUUAUUUUUGUCCUCACUGGCCUCCAAGUUUUCUAGGAUGAUGCAAUGUCCAGCCAUCAACACAUUUGUGAAGGAAUUUUUACUCCCCAAAAGAGCGCCCCCCCAUGGCAGGAGAAAAAAGUCAAUUUUUUCUUGUCUCCUAAGGUAAAAAUACACAUUGUUGAGUGUCACGCCUAUACACUUUGUCAUAUUGACACACAAUUUGACAAUCACGUGUAUCUCAAUAAGAUCUACAAAAAAGUCAAUAGGCACGUAUCUGUCAAAUGUAUGGUUAAAGGGCUAUUUCGCAUUUUUUGCCGAUUCGCACACAUUGGAAUGUGGCUAACUCCUCCUAAGGCUUUCGUCCCACCGAUACCAAAUUUGCUCAGGGCAAUCCACACCCCAUGGCCAUUCAAAGUUGUAAAAAUCAUGACGCUGCACCCCACGGUUUACGUUCUAGGGGGCGCCAAAGAUGACCCAAAAAUCCACAUUCUUAAAAGUCAUUUUGGCCACUGCAGGAGUACAGAGUACUGCAGUUCUAGGGGGCGCCAAAGAUGACCCAAAAAUCCACAUUCUUAAAAGUCUUUUUGGCCACUGCAGGAGUACAGAGUACUGCCGGACACACACACAUAUACACACACGCCAACACACACACACACACACACACACACACACACACACACACACACUCAGAGUCUGUUUUUUAGCACCUGCAAAAACAUGCUGUUUACAUAUUUGACAAGAAUGCAGAGGCUUCCUUUUGCCCCUGAAAAAAAUCAAAUUUCAAACACAACUUGACUGUUCAUUUCUCCAAAAGACAACCAUGAAGCUCCAUCCAAACCUGAAGCAGAUAGUUGGUGCAUGUGUACAGUAACCUGAGGAGAGUGAGGUGACUACUUCUGAGGAGAACAUGAGCAGUGAAGAUUCACCUUGGAGCUAGAACAGGGACGUGCACAUGAUUAUACAGGGGCAGGGGCUCAAGUUUUUUCCAGUCAUUUAUACAAUAUGGAAAUUAAUGUGAAAUUAAACCACAAAUAUGUGUGAUGAACUGUUUUUAAAACUUAAACUUCAAAUAAAAAUUGUAAACUUCAAAACAUAUGCAAAUUUUUAACAAAGAACAUAGUAAUUUACCUCUAUUUACAUCAAAAUGCAGGCAAUGGCCCAGGCGUUCUUUGUAAAAUUAUUUACAAAACACUGUAUAGUCUCACAAAUGUCACUUUUUAUUUAUGCCACUACAAAAAAACAUGAUGUAAAUGAUGCAUGAUGUAAAACAUGAUGUAAAAAACUUGUGUAGAUCCUCCUCUAUGUCAGUCCAUGUGUAAUUUUUCCAUAAUUCUUUGUUUUUUGCAGCAUUUUUGUUAGUGUAACUGCAGAUUGUGCUGACAGUGUCUAUGGCAAAAAAAAAAAAAAACUGAAAAUGCCUCAACAUGAACUCCUGGUGGUCUCUGAGGGUGAAACCUGCUAACUGCUGCAGCUCUCUCAGCUCUAGUCUCCCAUGCAGAGCUCGGAGCGCAUGUGUGGCUCUGCACCCUUAGCAGCGUUGCUAACUCCUCAGUAAGGAAAGCCUGCUUCAUGUCAGAGUCUCUAAACUCCAGAGGAAGUCGAUAAAAUUCCCUUUCUUUCUAAAAAAAAGUCGUUAGGGGGUCUGAAAAGUCAUUGAAUCUAACAACAAAGUCGCUAGGUUUGCAACUACGUUUCCCAGACUGCAUCCC